rnacentral:rRNA from 1 species
UGCCAGCCGCCGCGGUAAUACGAAGGUGGCAAGCGUUGUUCGGAAUCACUGGGCAUAAAGCGCGCGUAGGCGGCUAAGUCAGUCGGAUGUGAAAUCCCUCAGCUCAACUGAGGAACUGCGUCCGAUACUGCUUGGCUUGAGGCCUGGAGGGGAGAGUGGAAUUCCUGGUGGAGCGGUGAAAUGCGUAGAGAUCAGGAGGAACGCCGGCGGCGAAAGCGACUCUCUGGGUCUCUUCUGACGCUGAGGGACGAAAGCUAGGGGAGCAAACAGGAUUGGAUA